rnacentral:tRNA from 1 species
GGCACUGUGCCGGAUAAUCGGAUUACCUUGAUGUGGUAAAACAUGUAGGUGAAAUUCCUUCUGGUGUCA